UCAUACCACAUUGAAAUGCCACUUCUAAUCCAAACGCUGAAGUUAAGCAAUGUUGAUCCUGGUCAGUACCUAGAUGGGUGACCACUUAGGAAUACCAGGUGCUGUUA